UCGGGAAUAUUGCGCAAUGGAGGAAACUCUGACGCAGUGACGCCGCGUGCAGGAAGAAGGUUUUCGGAUUGUAAACUGCUUUAGACAGGGAAGAAUAAAGACAGUACCUGUAGAAUAAGCUCCGGCUAACUACGUGCCAGCAGCCGCGGUAAUACGUAGGGAGCAAGCGUUAUCCGGAUUUAUUGGGUGUAAAGGGUGCGUAGACGGGAAAACAAGUUAGUUGUGAAAUCCCUCGGCUUAACUGAGGAACUGCAACUAAAACUAUUUUUCUUGAGUGUUGGAGAGGAAAGUGGAAUUCCUAGUGUAGCGGUGAAAUGCGUAGAUAUUAGGAGGAACACCGGUGGCGAAGGCGACUUUCUGGACAAUAACUGACGUUGAGGCACGAAAGUGUGGGGAGCAAACAGGAUUAGAUACC
rnacentral:rRNA from 1 species